ensembl:lncRNA
GUCAGGGAGAGAGAUUUGAAGGUGCUACACUGCUGAUUUUGAAGAUGGAGGAAGAGGUCAUGAGCCAAGAUACACAGGCUGCCUGUAGAAGGUCAAGAAGACAAGUAAAUGAUUGUUUGCAAGAGCCUGUAGAAGGAAAGCAGUUGGGCCAACACCUUGAUUUCAACCCAGUGCAACCUGUUUUGGAUUUCUGCUCUUCCGAACAGUAAGAUGAUAGAUGGGGCAUCCUCUUGACCCCGGAGAGUGAAUCUCAGCAUGUGGGGGACAACGUGGGACCCCACAAGCACUGUGCGGCCAAAGGCCCGGCGCUCGAUCACCAGGACACUGAGAGGGGGCUGCAGAGCUUCGGACCAGGGAAGUCAUGCCAAGGAGUGUACUCUCAAAUUUUCUUCCGAAGAGAUCCUGACUGUUCCCUGCAUCCCUGCUGGGUCCCAGAAUGUACAGUACCCUUAGCUGCUCCAAAUGGAACUUGGUCCUCUAUUCAGAGCAACGGAUCCUAUGGCCGGGCAUGGAUCCACAGGACUAAUAUUAGGGACGUGGGUUCCAUCCCUGGUCUGGGAAGAUCCCACCACGUGCCAUGGAACAACUAAGCCCGUGCGCCACAACUACUACUGAAGCAGUGCUCUAGAGCCCACAAGCUGCAACCACUGAGGCCCCCAGAACCCAUGCUCUGCAGCAAGAGAAGCCACAACAGUGAGAAGCCUGCACGCCACAACCAGAGCC